AGGCACGUAGCUCAGUUGGUUAGAGCACCACCUUGACAUGGUGGGGGUCGUUGGUUCGAGUCCAAUCGC
rnacentral:tRNA from 1 species